GUCGUCGCGAGGCGGGGUCUGAAGGAAGCCCAAUCCAAAACUGCGGGACGAUGAACAAGAAUCGGAUAUGAGGUGUGGUGCACUCGGGACGAGCGGGCACGUGACUGCGAAGUCCUCCAUCUGCGGUAGUAGGGUGUGCUUUAUAAAUCCGGCGUCUAUGCAGUGAAGGUAACGUGU
rfam:Propionivibrio sp. S1 isolate 2 genome assembly, contig: PROAA_Contig_351